UUCACACCGGGGCUAGGGGCGUGGCGCGGCGGGCCGGGCCGGGGUUGGGAAAGUCCUGUGCAAGGGGGUUUUGACCGGGAUGAGGCCAGAGACGGGCGGAGGCGGAGGCGGCAGGAAUUAGGAGGAAGGACAUGGAUUUGGAAAGCCGGGGGUACCUUGAGGAGCGGCUCACCCAGCAGCUGAGGCUGCUCCCGGUGCCAGGGCCCCAGAACUGGGCCCAGCCCCCCAACUCUCCUGGCGUGAAUUCAGCCUCCAUUCAACCCCACGUCUUCAGGCAUAAAACACACGGGGGCCAGCAGCUAGCAGAGGGAGAGACGCAUCUCCUGGGAGUAGGUGCAAUCGGGACUCCAUACCAGGGCCCCAGGUAGAACGGACCUGCCGUGAUCUCUCUGGAAGCUGCCACGUGAGCUGCCAGGCAGGCUGGGCUGUCCAUAGUGUGCCAGAAAGCCAGCUCUCACGGGCCAGGCGGCCCAUGGACAGCAGCACCCAUGAUGACAGCAGGGAUGGGCCUUGCAGUCAGAACAGAAUGCAGAUGUUGGCAAGGCGAGCGUUUCUGGAGGGCUCGAGCAUCCAGGACUUCGGGUAAAAAGCUGAUGCCCUGAAUACAGGCCAAACAGCACCGUCUGCUUUUCCCGGCCCACCCCUUUCUUGGAACGUAAAGCCGUGUAUGAUUCUCAGAAAGUUCCAGAAGCUCCCUGCACGGACUAGUUGCCAUCCCUCCCUCCUCCGCACCCCCUGACUCUCUCCCCUGCUCUGUGCCCUGUGCCUGAAAGACUGACCACCUUUAAGGCAGCAGAACUGGGCUCCCUGGACCUGCAGCCUCUGCGGGGUCAGCUGAUGGAGACGGGCUGUGGGAGGGCAAAGACCGCUUGGUCCUCAUUCACUCUGGUUUCCACACCUCCUGCCAGGCCUGAGGGUUCUGGUGACACCCCUCUAGGGAGGCCACAGCUCUCCCCAGCCCCUGGGAUAGCUCUUCUCCGUGUCCCUUCAGGGGAGUUCACACCCUCCUUGCAGGUUUCCCUUCGCCCUGCCGGGGUGUGUCUGCCAUCGCUCCCCCCAGCAGACCCCAACUCACACAUACUUGGCACCACUCUCCUCACCAGUAGGAGGAAAGAGGGAGAAAACUUGCCCCUAGACGAUCGUCCUGGGACAAGGCCCAGUCUGGGUAACACAUGGAGAGGAACCUGGGCUUGAAUCUUAGUUCUGCCACAAGAUGAGAAAAAUCUAAGGCUCCGAAGGAUGAUGAGCUUUACCACCUGACCCACAGCUAACCAGCAGGAUUCCAGCCCCAGUUCUGUCCCCAGGCUUCGUCCCCACAGGGAGGAAUGUACCCUCCCCGCAAUCAUGCGGGGCUGCUGCCCCCGCUGUAUCUGGAGCUUCGGGCGGGGGAGUGUUGGAGGUCAGGGGGCAAGGGCAGGGUUGGUGGGCCGGCCAAGCCCGUGGUAUUUGGGCCUGAACCGCAGAGGCCUGGAGCAGCACCCUGGGGGGAAACCAGGGGACAGCCGGUACUCCCCUUGAGUGGGGAGCUGGGCCCAGGGUGCCUGAAGUUUUCUGAGAGAUGGGGGAGGGGUGGCAGAGAAAGAGGCACAAACCAAUCAAAGUAAUAAUAACAAUAACAACAGGACUGGCUCCAGGGCCAAAAGAGCCCCGGCCUUGGGGCUGAGGGCCGAGAAGGCUGGCCAAGGCUAUGGCCGCCCCCACUGGAGGAGGCGCCCAGCUCUGGCCUUGCCCUGGACAUGGGCGAUCCUGUCCAAAGUGCAGAAGUCGCCUGCAGGUCUCCCAGCAUGAGCUCCGAGAUGCCAGCCUGGCCUGCCAGUGCACCAGGCCCUGAGGCAGUUCUCAGAGAACACGGGGAAGGGGGCAAGGAAAGGGAAGCUGGGGAGAUGAGAGGGAGGGCAGGAGCUCUAUGCACAGUGUGAGAAACGGACUCCUCAGGGGGCGCCUGGGUGGCUUAGUCGGAUAAGCCUUCAGCUCAGGUCAUGACCCCCAGGGUCCUGGGAUUGAGCCCCGCAUCGGGCUCCCUGCUCCGCGGAGAGUC